AAGUCGAACGCGUGUAGCAAUACACGAGUGGCGGACGGGUGAGUAACACGUGGGAAUCUACCCAGCAGUACGGAAUAACCGCGGGAAACUGUGGCUAAUACCGUAUACGCCCUUCGGGGGAAAGAUUUGUCGCUGUUGGAUGAGCCCGCGUCCGAUUAGCUAGUUGGCGGGGUAACGGCCCACCAAGGCGACGAUCGGUAGCUGGUCUGAGAGGAUGAUCAGCCACACUGGGACUGAGACACGGCCCAGACUCCUACGGGAGGCAGCAGUGGGGGAUAUUGGACAAUGGGGGAAACCCUGAUCCAGCCAUGCCGCGUGGGUGAAGAAGGCCCUAGGGUUGUAAAGCCCUUUCGGCGGGGACGAUGAUGACGGUACCCGCAGAAGAAGCACCGGCUAACUUCGUGCCA
rnacentral:rRNA from 1 species